rnacentral:lncRNA from 1 species
GACAACGAAAUGGUGGAGUUCACUAUUCUUGGCAAGGCCAGGAAGGGAACCAGUAAAACCGCUGUAUUGGACUUCCGGAGGGCUAACUUUGGGCUGCUCAGGACACUGGUUGGUAGAGUCCCUUGGGAGGCGGUUCUGAAGGGCAGAGGGGUCCAGGAAGGCUGGGCACUCUUCAAGAGGGAAAUCUUAAUGGCGCAGGAACGGUCUGUCCCCACGUGCCCAAAGAUGAGUUGGCGGGGAAGAAGACCAGCCUGGCUCAACAAAGAAUUGUGGCUUGAGCUUAGGAGAAAAAAGAGGGUUUAUAUUCUUUGGAAAAGUGGGCAGGCCACUAGGAAGGACUAUAAGGAUGUAGCGAGGCUGUGCAGGGAUAAAAUCAGGAAGGCCAAAGCUCAUCUGGAGCUCAAUCUGGCUACUGCCGUUAAAGAUAACAAAAAAUGUUUUUAUAAAUACAUCAACACAAAAAGGAGGACUAGGGAGAAUCUCCAUCCUUUACCGGAUGCGGGGGGAAACUUAGUUACAAGAGAUGAGGAAAAGGCGGAGGUGCUUAAUGCCUUCUUUGCCUCAGUCUUUAGCGGCAAUACCGGUUGUUCUCUGGAUACCCAGUACCCUGAGCUGGUGGAAGGGGGUGGGGAGCAGAAUGUGGCCCUCAUAAUCCACAAGAAAAUGGCUGGUGACCUGCUACAGCACUUGAAUAUAUGCAAGUCAAUGGGGCUAGAUGGGAUCCACCCAAGGGUACUGAGAGAACUGGCAGAGGAGCUGGCCAAGCUGUUUUCCAUCAUUUAUCAGCAGUCCUGGCUAUCGGGGGAGGUCCCAGUUGACUGGCGGCUAGCAAAUGUGACACCCAUCUACAAAAAGGGCCAGAGGGCAGACCCGGGAAACUACAGGCCUGUCAGUUUGACCUCAGUACCAGGGAAGCUCAUGGAGCAGAUCCUCUUGAGCGUCAUCAUGCAGCACUUGCAGGGCAAGCAGGUGAUCAGGCCCAGUCAGCAUGGGUUUAUGGAAGGCAGAUCCUGCUUGACGAACCUGAUCUCCUUCUACGACAUAGUGACGCGCUGGGUGGAUGAGGGAAAGGCUGUGGUUGUGGUCUACCUUGACUUCANNNNNNNNNNNNNNNNNNNNNNNNNNNNNNNNNNNNNNNNNNNNNNNNNNNNN